AGAUACCAUAAAGGGUGUUGGUUCAUUUUAACAGCAGGACGGUGGUCAUGGAAGUUGAAACCCGCUAAGGAAUGUGUAACAACUCACCUGCCGAAUUGACUGGCCCCGAAAAUGGAUGGCACUAAAACGGGCGACCGAUACCGUUCGAUUGAUGCGACAUGAAUAUGUGAUGUGUAGGAGGGUGCAUAUGUUUGUUGUAAAACGCAUGACGAAAGUCAACGCGAAAUUGCAUGUGUUGCAGAUCUUGGUGGUAGUAGCAAAUAUUCAAAUGUGAACUUUGAAGACUGAGGCGGGAGGGGUUCCAUGUGAACAGUAAUUGGACAUGGGUUAAACGAUCUUGAGAUGAUUGGAUGCUCUGCACAGAUAAGCUUCGCUGUUACUUGCAAAAGGGGGUGGUGAUAACGUUCUCCAAUCAGGAUGUGGAUAUUCAAUGGUAACAUUACAUAAUCCUGUCAUGUGGGUCAGGGUUCCGGGAAGUGUUAUCUUUUUUUCUUAACAGCAAUGUACUGUGGAAUUUUGUUGCCGGGAGAUAUUGUUAAGCUACUGUUAUAAUGCCUUUUCGUCCGAGGUGUCAGGUGCACUAUUGGCUACCCGUUAAAAUCAGGGUGAUUGUGUUAUUCGCACUCCUGGUCGUACCCAUAACCGCAUCAGGUCUCCAAGGUUAAUAGCCUCUGGCUAAUAGAACAAUGUAGGUAAGGGAAGUCGGCAAGAGAGAUCCUUAAUUUCGGGAAAAGGAUUGGCUCUGGGGGUUGGGUGCGGGGGUCGUUGUUUGAUAUUUGAGUGUUACAGAAGCUGUUCGAUACAUCAGUGGGCAAUGGAUUCGAGUAUUACGAUCAUGUAGAGCAAGUAGUGGCUUCCGGGCUUCCCCUGCACAGUGAGCAAGUAACUCAGAACUGGAGCGGACGUUGGGAAUCCGACUGUUUAAUUAAAACAAAGCAUUGUGAUUGCCUCAGCGGAAGCUGGCGCAAUGCGAUUUCUGCCCAGUGCUCUGAAUGUUAAAGUGAUGAAAUUCAAACAAGCGCGGGUAAACGGCGGGAGUAACUAUGACUCUCUUAAGGUAGCCAAAUGCCUCGUCAUCUAAUUAGUGACGCGCAUGAAUGGAUUAACGAGAUUCCCACUGUCCCUAUUUACCGUCUAGCGAAACCACAGCCAAGGGAACGGGCUUGGGAUAGUCGGCGGGGAAAGAAGACCCUGUUGAGCUUGACUCUAAUUCGACACAGUGGAAUUACUUAGGGGGUGUAGUAUAAGUGGGAGCUUUGCGAUCUUGAAAUACCACUACUCUUAAUGUUAUUCCACUGAUUGCAUGAUGCUGAGCAUUGCUUUACACUUACAUUGUGUUUGUAAGAUCGUGUGUAUGCUGGAUUGAUCUGUGUGCGACACAUCGUCAGCUGGGGAGUUUGGCUGGGGCGGCACAUCUGUUAAAUUAUAACGCAGGUGUCCUAAGGUUGGCUCAACGAGGACAGAAAUCCCAUGUAGACCAAAUGGGGAAAUGCUUGCUUGAUUGUGAUUUUCAGUGUGAAUACGAACUGUGAAAACAUGGCCUAUCGAUCCUUUAGGUUUGAAUUGUUUUCAACUAGAGGUGUCAGAAAAGUUACCACAGGGAUAACUGGCUUGUGGCAGCCAAGCGU
rnacentral:rRNA from 1 species